rnacentral:piRNA from 1 species
UUUGUCAUUUCUUUGAAUGGUU